CUUAAGACCGGAGAUCCGAAUGUGCCGGCUGCCUUGGUUCCUGGAUCCUGGAUGCUGCAUGUAGACAGAGCAGAGUUCUUCAGAGAACACCUCUGGACUGCACUUUGCCUCUCCGGGACCCUGUAACCUAUCUGUUUACUUACUUUGGAAAGCUGAAGCAGGAGGAUUGCCUCGACUGGUCAUCCUAGACUGAAUACAGAAUACCAGACCAGCCAGGACUACAGAUCAAAACCCAUGUCAAAACAAACAAGCAAGAAGUCUAGUCAUCUCUUAUUGUUCCACAGGUACUUCAAAAAACAGACAUCCAUGAUGCAUGCUUGCUGAAUGAGCAGCCCUCUGCCUUUAUUCUCCUUUUCCCUGUGGAUGUGUUUCGCAGCUGUAGCUGUUCCGAUGUGAUUGAAGCUGGAGAAAAUUAUUAAAGAACCCCAAGAAGAGGACAAGGAAGAAACUGUAUUUGGAUUUAAUAUACAUAUCCAGAGUUAACAGAAUGAAAACACUCUCUACAAAUAACGUUUCUACUGGGUUCCGGCAUCAUGUGGGUGCCCCCAGACAACCAGGUAGCUCUUUCUUCACAUUUGUUGGCCAUCAUCUCAAACAUUUCUGGAAAUAUUCACAGACACACAACCAGAAGUCCUGCUUCACCAAUAUUCUUUGCAUCUCUCAAUCGAGUCAAAUUGACAACCAUGAAAUACCAAGUUAGCAGAGCGGAGAGAGUGAGGGUUCUGCAUCUGGCUCCUGCUCUCAUGGCCUUCUCAGUACAUUGAGUGCCACAGGAACAGCCCUAGGCAAGUGGGAGCCUGACUUGCACUUGGUGAUUAUGUGCAUCUGGAAAGACAAAGGAGAUCCUUAGAAGCCCAGAGGCAAAGUGUCUUCUUCCGCAUUCUGGGUGCAAACUUGCUUGGAGGAACCCGGCAAGCAAAGACAGAUGCUUCAGUCAACUUCUCAGCUUUUUAAAGAAGUGCUCAGGGAGGUGAAGCAGGCUAUGUCUGCUAAGAAGGAAAAUUUGAAGACAUGGCAAAGACUGAUGAGGCUUGUUAUCAAUGAGAACUGGAAAUAUAGAUUUCCCUCAAAAGGGUGAAAACAAACAGAAGAUCAGGGUCCAGUGCGCCCAAGGGGACUCACCGGCUUCUGUUGUGAGCUUGGUCCACAGAACAUGGAGGAAAUCCCACUGGUGAUGUGAAGAAAGUGGGAGAGAGGUGGGGCCGGUGACAAGAACCUCAUGAAAACAGGGCUGCUGGGCACAUUGAAAAGAGGAAAGGGCUAAUGCUGCUGCAGAGCUAAAGGAAACCCUGAUGCAAUCAAAAAGGCUGAAAAGAGCAAGAAGACAGAAGAUGAAGGGAAUGAGGAAGGGGAAGAAGGUAAAGAAGCUGAUGAUGAUUGAUGACGAGUAAGUU